UGGGUUCUCAGAGUUUUGUGCCAUCUGCGGAAUGGGGGUUACAGUUUGUCUAAAUUCGGGCGAUCCCGAGUGGUGACGAAUUGAUUCCCCAUUGCAGGGUAUGGGACUUUGGAUCGCUUCUUCAGUCCUUGGAGAUGAUUCCUCUAGGUAUGCUGUAGUCGAUUUUUUUAGCAUUCAUGUGGAUUUUGUUUAUUGUUUAGAUGAAUUAGGUGUUAGGGUUAUUCAGUGUAUUAGUGAGACGGCUGGAUGCAAAUGGAACUAAUGCUAUGCUUAGACAUGAAUGAGACUGUGUUUUUCGUUGUAACUCUAUUACGAAUAUGCUUGGAGCUAUUCCAAUAAAAGAUUAAUCUAGCUGGUUUCAAUUAUCUAAUUGGAUCUGAAAUACUGUUGCAGGUUGAAAGGAGGAACGUUGAUGAUUAAUGAUUUAAACUUUUAAAGGAGGAAGUUUGAGAAUUGCGAUACCUCAUGUG
rnacentral:lncRNA from 1 species